CCUCAAGCUUCGAUACAAAGUGAACAUCAGGACUCUGCCUGGGCUCAGGUGGUGAUGAGGGACCAUCCCCCUCAGCAUGCUCCUCCUCCUCUUCCUCAUCGAUAGUAGCUCCUCGGCCCUUGGUCCAACGACCAUCCACUCUGAUAAAUCCCAUGCAUCAAAGAGAGUGGUCGUUGUAGGUGCCAGCGUUUGAUAAUUUGCAAACAACCUCCUCCUCAAAGCUCACUCCAGACUCCCUAAAUAUCACUAUAAGAGCCAUACCAUAGGGCAAGAGAGCUUUGGAUCUGUUCAAGGCCUCCCUCAUGGCAUCAAGCAUUAGAAAUGAUAAAUUUAGUGGAGACUCAGAGACUACAUGGUACAUCAAACAGAUGUCAUGAUCAAUCAUCAAAUCAUAUCUUCCCCCUUUAAGGAAGAAAAUUUUAAAAAUCAUGUGG
rnacentral:lncRNA from 1 species